UGUGGAGCUGCGGCAGAGGAGGGGAGAGAGGGGCAGGCUGGCCAGGAGGCCAGCUCUGGGGCUGCCCCACUCUCACCCAGGCCGGCUUCCCUAGAUGCCAGCUGUCCCGCAUCUGUCCCGACACUCGUUUUGGCCUCGGGAGGCUGUUUCAUGUGGAAAUCAUUUUCUGUUUAGCUGCUGUCUUUCCAAGCAGACGUAAGUGCCUGAACUGCCCAGGCUCCGUCAUAUGUAACUUUUGGAGUUCAUCGUAGCUGCCACUUUUUCAGCCCCUAAAUAAUGAUGCCCGUUUUGCUCGAUGCCUCGAGUGACGUUCGAGGACUCUGGAAGGGACCUGGCACCGAGAGGGUGCUCAAUAAAUAUUUGUGGAAUGCACGCCUGGGUUCGUUCAGCAGACCUUUCUGAGUGCCUACCCCAGGCCAGGCUCGGUGCUGGGUGCUUGGAACACAGCAACCCGGGAGGUAGCAUUAUUGCCCCUGCCUGACCACUGAGGAAACUGAGGCCCAGAGAGGGCCAGUGCUUUGUCCAAGGUCACACAGUGAAUUAGUGCCAGAACUGAGACUCCAACCCAGGCCUCCUGACCUUCUGCCCAGGGAGUCUCCACCCACCAGGUGCCUCUUCCUUCACCAGUGGAAGCCGCGUCAAGGCUGGAUUGAGGGGUGGUGAUACUGUAGAGUGGUUACACGUUGCACUUGUGUCAUGCCAUCUGGGUUCAAAUCCUGCAUCUGUCACCUGCCUGUUGUGUGACCUUAGGUAAAUAGCUAAACCUGGGGCCUCAGUUCUGUGGUCUCCAGCCUCCAAGAUGGCUCCCAGUAAUUCUCGCCUCCUGGUAUUCACUCCCUUGUGUUGUCCUGUUCCACAAUGAAUGGGGCUGACCUGUGUGACUAAUAGGAUAUUGCAGAAGUGACGGGGUGCGUGACUUUUGAGGCUGGAUAAUAAAAAGACAUUGUGACAAUGGAAUAUUAUUCAGCCUGAAAAGGGAAGGGAAUUCUGACACAUGCUACAACAUGGAUGAACCUUGAGGACAUUAUGCUGAGUGAAAUAAGCCAUCACAAAAAGACAAAUACCGUACGAUUCCACUUCGACGACGGCCCUAGAGCAGUCAGAUUCAUAGAGACAGAAAGUGGAAUGGGGGUUGCCAGGGGCCGGAGGGAGUGCGGAGUUAGUAUUCAAUGGGUACGGAGUUUCAGUUUUGCAAGAUGACGGUGUUGCUGGUUGCACAACGGUGUGAAUGUACUUAACACCACUGAAAUGUCACUUAAAAAUGGCUGGAGAUGGAAAUGUGUAUGUUAUGUGUAUUUUGCCACAAUAAAAAAAAAAUGGCAGAAAAAGGAAGUUGCAGCUUCUGCCCUUCUCUUGGAUCACUCACUCUGGGGCGAGCCCUCAACUGUAUUGUGAGAACACUUAAGAAACCCUGUGCAGACAUCCGUGUGGGGAAGAAGCAAGGCCUCCUGCUAACAGCUCUGCAUCAACCUGCUGGCCAUGCGAGGGAGCCAUCUUUGAAGUGGAUCCUCCAGCCCCAGUCAAGCCUUCAGAUGAGUGCAGCCUCGGCUGGUGUCUCGACUGCAACCUCAUCAGAGAGUCUGUCCAUGAACCACGCAGCUAAGCCACUCCCAAAUCCCUGAGCCACAGAAACUACGUGAGAUAAUAAAUAUCUAUGGU